CCUACGGGGGGCAGCAGUGAGGAAUAUUGGUCAAUGGUCGGGAGCCUGAACCAGCCAAGUCGCGUGAGGGAUGACGGCCCUAUGGGUCGUAAACCUCUUUUGCCGGGGAGCAAAGGGCCGCACGUGUGCGGUUUGGAGAGUACCCGGAGAAAAAGCAUCGGCUAACUCCGUGCCAGCAGCCGCGGUAAUACGGAGGAUGCGAGCGUUAUCCGGAUUUAUUGGGUUUAAAGGGUGCGCAGGCGGUCUGUUAAGUCAGCGGUCAAAGCCCGGGGCUCAACCCCGGCCCGCCGUUGAAACUGGC
rnacentral:rRNA from 1 species